rnacentral:rRNA from 1 species
ACAGAGGGGGCAAGCGUUGCUCGGAAUCACUGGGCGUAAAGGGCGCGUAGGCGGGAUGGCAAGUCAGUCGUGAAAUCUCUCGGCUCAACCGAGAAACGUCGGCUGAUACUGCCGUUCUUGAGGGAUGCAGAGGAGACUGGAAUUCCCGGUGUAGCGGUGAAAUGUGUAGAGAUCGGGAGGAACACCGGUGGCGAAGGCGGUCUUCUGGACGGUGACUGACGCUGAGGCGCGAAAGCGUGGGGAGCAAACGGGA